AAAAAAUAUAUCUUUUAUUUAAAAAAAAUUGUAUGAGUUGCAUUUUUAAGCUAUAAUAUUUGUGAUUUUAUGUGAAACUAUUAUAAACAGGUCACUCAAGCGAAUUAAUGAUGUAGAUAAUGACUGAAUCCUACUCUAUGGACCCUUAGUCUCUGUAUAAGAGGAUUUCAUUGGGGAUGAAGUAAUAGAUUUAAACUCUAUGUAGAGCGCUCUCUCGUGGCUCCACCCACCACGCACGUUCGAACCAAUCAUAUUAUCCUCCCUGGCGUCCAUGGGCGUGGCUAACCGCGUCGGUCUGUUAAAGGUAGCAGGUUGUACAUGGCGAGCGGGUUACUCACUGAGGGCUGGUGAUUGGUGUAAUGGAAGCAGUCUCUGAACCGCAUUUAAUGACGGAGAACUACAGGAGUGGAGAGAAAACGCAGCACUGAGCAACUUGUAGACUUCACACCCGACUGUAGGUGGCUAGGUGAACGCGUUUGGCCUUAUUUAUUCGCUAAGCUGCUAGCUUGUUAGCUCUGCGGCUGUUUUAGUAUAAAGUACUAACUUGAGUUAACUCGGUGGGAGUUUAUUUAGCGCCGGAUAAACGGUGAACUAGUUAGUUUAGUAAAUCUGACGCUUCUCGGGAACUUGUAGUUUAUUCGCCUCGCUGUCUGGGUGACGCAGAGAGCAACUGUUUACCAAGUGACUUUAAUUUCAGUGCUUUUUGAACUGUCUCUCAGCCCUAAAUAGUUCCGCGGUAUUUGUGUGGAAUUGGGAUGAACGUCUAGUUAAAGGGUUGAUGUCUCGCUGGCGCAGUGAUUUGUUCUUUAGGAGUGUUUUUCUCUUGAACAGCGCUCUGUGUGGAGACCUUGAGGUAGUUCUGUAGUCACAGGUGCACAAAUCAGUCACACAGCUCCAGCUCCACCUGCGCCUCUCGCAGGGAAACGGGUUCUGUGCACUGGCUCCGUCCCAAAUCACCUUGUAUGGAAUCUCUAUCUCUAGUGCACUAGGUGCGGUAGAGACUCCAUUCGUUCAGACCGUGUGUAGUGUACCUAGAUACGCAGUCGUGCAGGAUUUGGGCACAGGCCACGCUAAUGAAACAUCAUCCAUUUCAAGUCAAGUUGCUAUUGUUAAACUUUUCACUAAAUCCUGUAUGGAAACGUUGCUGUUCAGUUGUUCUAUAAGCGCAAUUUCUACCAAAUACAGUGGAGUGUAAACGUUUGUACCCCCUUUUGGUUUCUUUUGGACGGAAGGGUGUUAAAUGUCCUAAACACUACAUAAUUUGACUGUAAGUAGAAGUUAAUUUUAUUAUCAGACUCGGAUAUUCAUGUUAAUAUUUUUAAUACUGCUCAUUAGUGUUAAAUGACUUGAAAGAGUCAACACAUGGGAUGGUCAUGGCAGGGUCUUGAUUUUGUGGUCAGUAAACCGUUUUUGUGUUGAUUUUGAUGUAUGUUUUGGAUCACUGUCCUGCUGGAAGAUCCAGCCACGGCCCAUUUGAAUCUUUCUGGCAGAGGCAGUCAGGUUUUCAUUUAAUAUCUGUUGAUAUUUGAUAUUAGAGCUGGAUGAUAUGGCCAAAAUAUAUAUCACGAUAUAUCUCUUAAUUUCAGUUGAUAUGAUAUAAUUCCGAUAACGAUAUGAACAAUAUAAAUCCUCAGAAAAACUGCCAAGGACGCCCACAACAGAUGUCUGUACCUUCAAACUUCUGUAAACUUCUCCUCCUAUAAAACUAUAUAAUAACUUAGAAAUAAAAAUGGCACAAAUAUAUGAAUGUUCACCUUUAAUUUUAAUUUAACCUUCAUACAAACACAGUGUGAAAUCACCAUCAAAUAAACACAAAACUCUCACCUUUGUCAAUAUUAAUAUCUUUCACUUUAAACUACAACAUAGGCUGAUUAUUUUAUUCUUAUAAAUUGAAUUAAAAGUGCUUCAGCCAGGAUAAAAAAAAUAUGAAAAAUAUUCAGAGUUGCUGAAGAAAACAGAAAAAGUGUGAGCAAUAACAAGAACACAUGUUGCUGGGGCAGGGACAUUGUUGGGGGUUGAUGACUGUAGGUCCAAAUUUUGCCUAUUACCUGAAGACACUUAACAUAGAAACAGAUACUCACAUAUUCAAUUGGAGAAAGAAAAAUAAGACACCAGCCGUGAGUGAGAAGAAGCAAGGGUCCAGGUUUAUUCGUUCCGUUCCACCACACAAGGUCCACACAGUUUGAGACGUCCCAAAAUGCGAUCUAAAAAAAAACAGAGCUGAAGCUCUUCUAUUUAUACAGUUUUCUUAGGGUCAGGAUGACCCAGACACCAAUGUGUUUUAGAAAGAGCUUAUCAAAAUUACCAUUCUGUUUUAGAAAGAGCCCUCCCCGAACACCAUUCGGUUUUCGAAAGAGCCUUCCCAUAAUACCAAUAGGUACGAGACUCAACAUUUCGGAGAGACCUUGGUCUCACGGUGUCCGCUGUUCCCAUCGACAGUUAUCUUGCGGCCCUAGCCAUUCCCAUCGACCGUUAUCUCCCGGCCCUAGCUGUUCCCAUAGACGGUUGUCUCACAAGUGCAACUUGGCUCAACUACCCUUAUAAACGGCCCAUCUUGGUUCUCUCUUAAAAAUUAAGGCCUUCGUCUGUGUUACUCCUGACUUUUUCUCGUGAGAAAAGAAUCCUCCACACCUUCAAGUGCAUUAUGAGUAAGUUUCUUUCAUAUUUUUCUGUAUUUCUGUUUUAUAAUGCUUUUUUUCUUUUCAUAUUUGCUCUACAUUUCUGUUUUAUAUCUGGUUAUACUGCUUGCAAGUAUUUUACCCCCUUUUCUGUACCCCAUACUUCACAAUAUCAUUAUAAUAUCCUUAUAAUAUCCUAAUACUCCUUUUAUUAUUCUUAUAAUGUUCUGUUUUCCGUGUGUGUGUGUCUUAGUUGACCGUCCACCUACGCUCUGAGGCCUGCCACACUAAUCAAAUACAUGUAUUGUUAUCCCCCUGUGCCUUGCUUAUCUGUGUGUUGUGUCUUAGGUGAACAUCUGUUUAUACAGUCCACCAGCCCAGUGAAUUCUCAAUAAGAUUACAUAUUACUCAUACUAGGUCUCCCUCGUGUUUAUUUCAUGUAUAUUUUAUAUACAACACUACACUCACAUAAUGUGGCUUCAAUUCCUGUUGAAAAUAUCAUAAUUAUGAGGUGAAUGAACAUGAAAGUAUAACUAGGACUCAUAUUUUUAUAUGAGCCCUGACUUUAUGAACUGAGAGUAAGUUAAAAAAAAAAAAAAAAGUAAAGGCAGCCCCCACAAUGAAUGUGCCACCUACAGCAGACAGUAAAAUUUAAGUGGUACUUUUGCUUGUUAACUAAGAACUACAGCUCGAUAUUUUUCUUCAGUAAGUAAAAAAUAAACUUCUUGUUGAUGAAAUUGCAAAACAAAUAAAUAAAUAAAAGAAAAUGUCUCACGCUGUCAAUUUUACUUCCAAAACCUGUUGAACACACCAAAUCAUAAUGACCAUCUCCGAUAUUGUGUGCACAAACUUCUGAGGAGGACUUGAAGGCAGCAAUAAAUGAUGUCACAUGAUUUAUUAACAACAAACAGAUAAAAACAAUAAAGUGUCCAUGUUCUCCUGGACUGUUGAAUAAGGAACAACCCAGCCCCACUUGCCCCCAUCAUCCUGUGUGACUCCCCAGUUGAUACUGUGCACUCCUGCCGCUUCCUGGGAACUAUCAUCACCCAGGACCUCAAGUGGGAGCUGAACAUCAGGUCUCUCAUUAAAAAAAUCAGAGUGUACUUCUUGUGGCAACUGAAGUUCAACCUACCAAAGACAAUUAUGGUGCACUUCUAUACCUCCAUCAUCAGUAUGGUGAGUCCAUACUCACCUCCUCAAUCACCAUCUAGUACACUGCUGCCACUGAAAAAGGACAAGGACAGACUGCAGCAUGUCAUUCGCUCUGCUGAGAAGGUCAUUGGCUGCAAUCUGCCACCCCUUCAUUAUCUGUGCACUUCCGGGAUUAUGGCUGACCCCUCUCACGCUGGACACAAACUUUUCCAGGCACUCCCCUCUGGCAAUAGGCUGCAGUCCAUCAAGUCCAAAAACCCAUGCCACAAAAACAGUUUCUUCCCAUCGAAAAUGGCCUCAUUAACAACACUGAAGGCCCACCAUGGUCUCUUAUUCGCCUCCAUGAACAUUUACACAUCACAUUAACGAACAACCCCACAUUGUUGUUUCAUAUGCGUUACAUUAACACACAACUCAGACUGCUGUGUACAACACAUACUGUACUAAUGUACAGUUAAUGUCUUUAUUUUUAUUUUCCUAAACCUUCCAAAACAUAACUUCCUAACUCUCUCUUAUUAAUAUUAUAUUACUUCUUGUAUGUACUGUUAUUGUUAAGCGGCAGUACACCAAGACAAAUUCCUUGUACAUGUAAACCCACCAUACUUGACAAUAAAUCUGAUUCUGAUUCCCAACAAACAUCACUGCGAAAGACCGUUCAAAACUGUCAUGCACUUACAAAUUUCACCAAUUCAAGUAGGUUUCCACAAAAAAGUACAAUAAACUCCACAAGUUGCAUCGCACAUUUUGAGAUCAUGCAUUUAUGGCUGCAAAAAUCAGAAAAAAACUGGAAAUCCUGUAAGGACUGAUAUUGAAUCUUGCUACUUUGGAUUUCGUGGAAUUUCAGAGUAAUGAGGUCUAAAGCUGACAUCCAAAAUGUGUUUUAAAACAUGUUCUGUAAUGUGUUCUCCACAGUAAACACCUUACUGAACAUUCUUUCCCACGAGUACAGGCAGGCACAUAUCCAUCAUGGAGCUUCCGGGAAGUGUGAUGAUCAUUCCCCAGGAUACCAUGACUGGUGUAGUUAAAGGCAGCAGAGUGCAGCAGCACCAUGUCAUUGAAAGCUGGAAAAGCCUUUACCUCUACAAACAGUUUGUUACUCAAUGUGAGAAAGAGGUGGCUGCAUCGACAAAGUGCACCGAGGCUGGGGUGCUAGUCAGGCAUGGAGUUUAUGGAAACAUGCUAACGUUAUACCUUAACAGCAGCGCACCCCUCACUCACGUACUCCAGUUUUAAUUGAAGGUUCACAUUUCAAAUUCCUGUUGGAAUCUUUCUGACCAUGUUCAUGUACAGUUUGUAUAAGAUUUAGUUCCACUUAUUCCUACUGAUUAUUGUGAAAUGUUUAACAGAGGUACAGUAUAUUUUGAGAUGUUUACAUAACCUUUGAAAAUAAAUUAUUGGUUUUAAAUUUGC